rnacentral:siRNA from 1 species
CUUUACUAAUGAUAUCAUGCAG